rnacentral:rRNA from 1 species
AUUGAACGCUGGCGGCAGGCCUAACACAUGCAAGUCGAGCGGAUGAAGGGAGCUUGCUCCUGGAUUCAGCGGCGGACGGGUGAGUAAUGCCUAGGAAUCUGCCUGGUAGUGGGGGAUAACGUCCGGAAACGGGCGCUAAUACCGCAUACGUCCUGAGGGAGAAAGUGGGGGAUCUUCGGACCUCACGCUAUCAGAUGAGCCUAGGUCGGAUUAGCUAGUUGGUGGGGUAAAGGCCUACCAAGGCGACGAUCCGUAACUGGUCUGAGAGGAUGAUCAGUCACACUGGAACUGAGACACGGUCCAGACUCCUACGGGAGGCAGCAGUGGGGAAUAUUGGACAAUGGGCGAAAGCCUGAUCCAGCCAUGCCGCGUGUGUGAAGAAGGUCUUCGGAUUGUAAAGUACUUUAAGUUGGGAGGAAGGGCAGUAAGUUAAUACCUUGCUGUUUUGACGUUACCAACAGAAUAAGCACCAGCUAACUUCGU